AGUGAACGCUGGCGGUAGGCCUAACACAUGCAAGUCGAACGGCAGCACAGGAGAGCUUGCUCUCUGGGUGGCGAGUGGCGGACGGGUGAGGAAUACAUCGGAAUCUACUCUGUCGUGGGGGAUAACGUAGGGAAACUUAUGCUAAUACCGCAUACGACCUACGGGUGAAAGCAGGGGACCUUCGGGCCUUGCGCGAUUGAAUGAGCCGAUGUCGGGUUAGCUAGUUGGCGGGGUAAAGGCCCACCAAGGCGACGAUCCGUAGCUGGGCUGAGAGGAAGACCAGCCAAACUGGAACUGAGACACGGUCCAGACUCCUACGGGAGGCAGCAGUGGGGAAUAUUGGACAAUGGGCGCAAGCCUGAUCCAGCCAUACCGCGUGGGUGAAGAAGGCCUUCGGGUUGUAAAGCCCUUUUGUGGGGAAAGAAAUCCAGCUGGCUAAUACCCGGUUGGGAUGACGGUACCCAAAGAAUAAGCACCGGCUAACUUCGUGCCAGCCGCCGCGGUAA
rnacentral:rRNA from 1 species